AGUGAACGCUAGCGGCGUGCUUAACACAUGCAAGUCUGACGGUUUAUAGCAAUAUAAACGGUGGCAAACGGGUGAGUAAUGUAUAGGAAUCUACCUAGAAGAAAGGGACAACAGUUGGAAACGACUGCUAAUACCUUAUACUACCACUUGUGGGAAAGGAGUAAUCCGCUUUUAGAUGAGCCUAUAUCUGAUUAGUUAGUUGGUAGGGUAAAGGCCUACCAAGACAAAGAUCAGUAGCCGAUCUGAGAGGAUGGUCGGCCACACUGGGACUGAGACACGGCCCAGACUCCUACGGGAGGCAGCAGUGGGGAAUAUUGGACAAUGGACGAAAGUCUGAUCCAGCAACGCCGCGUGAAGGAUGAAUGUCUUAGGAUUGUAAACUUCUUUUGACAGGGAGGAUAAUGACUUUACCUGUAGAAUAAGCACCGGCUAACUUUGUGCCAGCCGCCGCAGUAA
rnacentral:rRNA from 1 species